ensembl:lncRNA
AAUAGUCAAACCUGUGUAAUGAUGGUUGAAGUACAAUAGUAAUGCGUCACCCUGUACAUGAUACGCAGGCAAAAUAUUUUGUGGUGACCUUGACUAGUGGCUGAGCUGAGGGGAUUGGUCUUUCCCCAGACGGGGUGCAAGUUGAGUUUAAAGACAGACUCAGUUGACAUAGGACUGUUUUAGCCACGUGUUCCGCCCAAGAUGAAGAAGACUGAGUGAACGCAAAUAUCAGAGGUGUCAGCUGUGUACCGGCCUGACGAUACCUGUGUUAGGUGAGGCUAACGCAACUGUUUUUACGCUGCAAUAGUUUUGUUUAGAUGAAUGAGACUUGAUGCCAGUUUUGCAUCGGCGAUACGUUUUGUGUCGUGUAAACGGUUGAAAAUGGCAAGUCCGAGGUAAAGUGAAACAAUUUUCCAACUGAUACUCCCCGCGGCUCCUGAGGUCUAAAGACGACGUCCCGCUCAUGUGUAUUGGAGUGGAACGAGUGCCAGAACAGGAUCCAUGUUCUUGUGGCAUCAUGGAUUUCGUGCUGGCAACAUUGGCAGCCUGUCCUUCUCUCUCAGCAUGUCAUUGUAAUUCCUGAGGGCAUCCCUGGAAGAUCCCCUUGACUGGCCAUCUGGAUCCCAAGAAACAUGCUCUGUCCUCCUCUGUCCACAUCCGCUAACUUGACAGACAUCGUUAUUUUUCAGAAACCCGCAGCUUCAGGCCUACCCCUCCUUGGUUGCACUGGGUAAUGUCUUCGCUGCCAAAAGUAAGUGUUCGUUGAAGGUGCGGGAGAGGCUUAGCAAAAGGCUGACUACAACUGAGAGAGUGGAACUGACCUAUUUGCUUAAUAAUUGAAGUUUGUCAAUACACAGCAGGACAGGAGGAUUGUGAGAUGUGUCCGUCCCAGUAAUGAUAAAUCCACUGAACAUGCAGCUUUGUUCGCAGAACCAUGGUUACAUCAGUAAACUCCAGAAACAGACAUGACUGUGAUGAGAACAGUUUUUGUUUUCUUCCUAAAUUGCCUCUACCUCUUAGAUGGUGGGAGACAUAAACGACUACACUCAGAUUUCCAGACAGAUAUCCAGUUUUUUAUGCAAAAUAAACAAGCAGUGUAUUUUCUUCCCUUUUGUUCAGAAGAGACCUGUUACAAAAUCCCAUUCACCAGAUGAUCCCAAUAACCUUCUGAAUGCGUUUGAGUCACAACAAACCAUUCAUCUUGUAAUUUCCGUUAUCUGGUUUAAUUAACAGGUUUAAUUACUACAAUUAGUGUUCGCAUGAUAUUAAAUAUGCAAAGCUUUUUUAUGCUCAAGUAUUGUUUUUAGAAUAAUUGUGUUAAACUCUGUGUUAAUAUUUACAAUACGUGAGCACUGUGGAUUCUCUGGCUGGCUGUAUUUUUAUUUUAUGCAUUCAUAUUUUUGCAAUGUAGAAAUACCGACAUGCUGACAAGAUAAACAAAUUGUGCAACAUAGUAUACAAUAGAUAUUUUAUUACUCUGGGUUUGGAAAUAAUGUGUUAGGCUAAAUUAUGAACUUUUGAUUAAAAAGUGUUUCAUUCACAGACUCCCUAGAGAAAGGCCAUGUCUGUUAAUUUAAAGGUGGUCAAAAAUGCUUUUGUAUUGAAAUUUACAGCUAGAUAAUUUCCUAAACAGUUUGAGGUUUUGGAGAAUGUAGUAAUGUCCUGUGGUGCCAGUGGAAUCCAACUCAUUUGGAGCAUGGGCAUCUGUCUGUCUUUACUGCCCCUAACUGUAUUCCCCAUCACUGUCCCUACUCAAGUUCCUCAUUCCCUAGUGUUAGUAGUCAGUUAAUAUUUGUCUUUCAUACCGCUGUGACCUUUCAUUUGUUUUUGUGUAGUUUCGGAUUUUGUUACCUUUUAGUUCUUUAUUAAACGUCCUCCGUUCUCCCUG